GCAUGUUCAAUGCCUUUACAGGCAGCUCUACUUAAAGAGCCUGAUGUAUCGGUAAACCGUGUUAUUUGGAGCCCUGAUGGUUCUUUAUUUGGUGUUGCCUAUUCGAGGCACAUUGUUCAAAUAUACUCCUAUCACGGUGGUGAUGACAUGCGACAGCACCUGGAGAUUGAUGCUCACGUCGGUGGAGUUAAUGAUCUAGCAUUCUCCAAUCCCAAUAAACAACUUUGUGUCAUAACGUGUGGGGAUGACAAGACCAUUAAGGUCUGGGAUGC
rnacentral:misc_RNA from 1 species